rnacentral:lncRNA from 1 species
GAAUCAGAUCUCAUUACGGAUGGUUGUGAGCCAUCAUGUGGUUGCUGGGAUUUGAACUCAGGACCUUUGGAAGAACAGUCAGUGCUCUUAACCGCUGAGCCAUCUCUCCAACCCUCAUACCUCCUUUUUUUAGUGUUAGUUUUUAAAUUUAAUUUUAUUUUUUUACUUAUUCUUUUAGCAUCCUGCUCACUGCCCCUUUUAGUUUUUUUAAACAUAUAUUUUUAUUUGUGUGCAUGUAUGUACACACACAUAUACCUGCAUGUACUUGUAGGGCUGGGAGAUAUCUCUGGAUCCCUUGUAGUUGAAGACAGACUGUGUGAUCUCCAAUGCUCUUAGCUGUUGAACCAUCAUAUCUCCAGGCCUGCUGCUCUUCUUUAAAGACGUGUUCCUUUUAUGUUGUCCAAGCUACAAUGAACUCCUGCACUCAAGUGACUCAGCCUGCCCAUCAGUGAGGACUGCAGAAGAGUACCACUGGCCCAGCUUGUGGUCUCCUUUUCUUUUUUUUUUUUUAAAUAUUUAUUUAUUUAUUAUAUGUAAGCACACUGUAGCUGUCUUCCGACACUCCAGAAGAGGGCAUCAGAUUUUUGUUACGGAUGGUUGUGAGCCACCAUGUGGUUGCUGGGAUUUCAACUUAGGACUUUUGGAAGUGCUCUUAACCACUGAGCCAUCUCACCAGCCCGUGGUCUCCUUUUCUAGUCCCGUUGUAGUUUUUCAGUGUCAGUCAUUGCCAUAGUCUUUGGAUAAUCAUGUCUCUACGCGUCCACUUAAGAAUUAUUAUUAUUAUUGGUCUUAUAAGUUAGGCUCUUAUGUAGCCCAUGCUGGCCUUAAACUCCCAAUCACUCUGUCUUUACUUCCCAAAUUCUGAGAUUAAAGUACUUGGCUCUCUUGUUUCUUUUAUUUUUUUAAGAUUUAUUUAUUUAUAUAUAUAUGAGUACACUGUAGUUGUCUUCAGACACACUAGAAGAGGGCAUCAGAUCACAUUGCAGAUGGUUAUGAGCCACCAUGUGGUUGCUGGGAAUUGAACUCAGGACCUCUGGAAGAGCAGACAGUGCUCUUAACCACUGAGCUGUCUCACUUGUCCGGCUCUCUUGUUUCUUAAAGGGUAGUAAAUGUUAGCAAAUUAAAGGUAAGUACUGUGAAAGAGCUUACAUUUCGUGUAAAUUGACUUCUUAGCUCUGAGGAGUGUAUUAACCAGCUUUCAUAGGAAGGACCCUUAUUUCCCUGGUGCUUCAGUUUGCUAAUGAUGUGAGGGUCUUGGUUGCUUAGACGUUUGCAAUGCUGAGGCUCAAACCUGGGGCCUUAUGAGUGCUAGACAAAUGGCUUUACCACUGAGCUCUAUCUCCAGCUCCAGUACUGUAGCAUUUCAUUUUAUUGCAGUGCUAGGAAUUGGAUCCAGAGCCUUCUUUAUACUAGAAAUGUGCUCUACCAUGCUGCUACACAGACAGCCUUUGAUUUAUUUAUUUAUUUAUUUAUUUAUUUAUUUUUUGAGAGCCACUCUCACUAUGUAGCUUUAGCUGGCUUUGAACCUGCAGUGUUUCCCAGGGUAGCCUUGAUUUUGCAGUCCUUCUGUCUCACGUACUCAGUGUUGGGAUUACAGGUGUGUGGCAUCACGCUUAGCUUAUGUUAGUACUUUAGAACUGGUCUUGACCCACAUUCCAUCGAUUCCCUCUACUGUCUUAGAAGAUAGUCAGGAUGGUCUAGCCUCACCUUUUCAGAUCAGGAAACCCAGUUUGCUUCUCCGUGGACCACAAAGCUAGUAAGUAGCAAAGCCAGGAGACGCUGAGCCCAGAACUGUGCUUCACGUUAUUAAACCUGUAUCUGUGAACUAAAUUCAAAACUCAAGCUGUAGCUAAGAGGGAAACAAUGCUGAGGUGUCUGUUACCGAUCCGUAUGAUCCACAAGCGCUCAGUGAUCACCGACCUAAACUUUUGUUUCCUAGAAUAGCUUUAUUACAUGAGCUAAGAAGGAGGCCAGGAGAUUUAGUUUCCAUUUGAGACCUUGGUCUUUUUAAAAUAGAACUCUACCUCCUUGCCCUUUAGCACACAACAACUUGCCAUAUUGGCUAGGUUUUGAAGUGAUACAUGCAGAAAACUUGCUUUACCUGCUUUUUAACUUGGCAUCUAGGUGUUUAUGAAUAGUAAUCACUGAUUUCUUGUACAGUGAAGCAGCUGAGGAUGUAGCUUAGCAGUAGAGCACUUGAGUAGCAUGGACGAAACAAGACCCUGGAUUAGGGCAGGUAUUGUGGUGCCUGCCUUUAAUUCAGAGAGGCAGAGGCAAGGGGAUCUCUCUUGAGUUCAAGUCCUCCUGGGGUACAUAGUGAGAUCUACCUCAAGCAAACAAGCAGGCAAAAGACUUGGGUUUGAGCCCCAGCACAAAAACACAAACAAUCCCCCCAUUGGUCCGGUAUUUCAUAAUAUGUUGUUCUUCUUUUUUUAAUGUGCACUGGUGUUUUCCCUGCAUGCAUGUUGUAUGAUGGUGUUGGAUUCCCUGGAACUGGAGUUACAGUUGUGAGCUGCCAUGUGGAUGCUGGGAAGAGUAGCUAGUGCCAUCUCUCCAGCCCUGAUGUUUGUAUUCUUGAGGAUGAUGCCAUUUGUGUCCUUGAGACAACUUUAUUGACCUUUCUCAUUUGUAAGAUGUCAGAAAGGGGUAGAGUGGAGAGGUUUGGUUACAUCUGGCCUCGGAUGCUCCUUUCUGGAAGUCUGAGUUGGGGAAUCAGUGUAGAACAUGAGAGUGGGAUGGGCCUGUAUAGCUCAGUGGCUCUGUGCCUGUGCAAGCCCUGGCAGUCCAAGACAAGCAAAAAUCUGGAACCCAAAGUGGAUCUGUGAGAGCUGAGGUGAUGCUUGCCUGUCCUUCAGGUCCUUUCUUUAAGGUCAGCUCUAACCUUGAGACUUAAUAUUUCCCUCUUGGCACCUCAUCUCUUGUUUUCUAGGACUGAAAUACACCUAACAGUAAAUUUGUUCUGGACAAUUCGCUUGUUUAAUACACAUUUGUGGCUAUGAUGUAGUAGGUGUUAUUUUAGGCUUAUGACUGUAUCAGUGAACAGAACAUUUGUUUUUCUGGUGGAACUUACAUUCUAUAAUAAGCAUUAACAUUGACUCUGCGGUUGGCGUGCUGGCACUACUUCAAGAGUUCUGCAUUUAGAAUGUAGUUAUUCUGACAAAGGUCCCAUAAGGUAGGUGCUGGUAUUUUCUGCAUUUUUUAGAUCAUGGACUGAAGUACAGGAAGACUAAGUUCUAAUGAAUUUAUUGCCUAAUAAUGGCAUUUUAGUUUUGCUUGUGUGUGUGUAUGUCUGUAUGUAUUUAUUUAUAUGAGUGCUCUAUUUGCAUGUAUGCCAGCAUUUUUGUUUUGUAAAUGUCAUUUUAAUUCAGACAUCAGGAGUCCCAAGUCCUUCAGUUAAUAAAAACUGCAUUUCUCUGCCAGAUGUAAUGAUAGUCCCUGUAGGACUCAGAAACUGAAGCAGGGAGGUGAAAAGUGAGGCCAGCUGAGCUGCAUAGAGUGUCCCAGGCCGGGUUGUUUUAUUUUGUUUUUGUUUUUUGUUUUUUAAUUAAAUGAAGUGUGGGUUGAAGCAAUGUCUCAGAGGGAAUAGGAGGCUAGAGGACCCGAGGGCCAUCUACCCCAGCGCUCACAUCAGGCCCCUGACAGUUGCCUGUAAUUUUAGCUCAAACACAGUCUUCUGAUUUCCUCAGGUAUCCAUGAACACGUGACACAUUCAUACGACACAUACAUGUCAAUGGAAAUAAAAGAAACCUUUAAAAUAAAAAAUUAAAAAAAUAGAGGCAAGUGCAUGUGUGCUAAAAAGAAGGUCAGAGGUUAAGAGCACUCACAUCUCAGACAGCUCACAACCCUGGAACUCCAGCUGCAGGAAUCUGAUGCACUCUUUUGAUGUGUCUGUCUGUCUGUCUGUCUGUCUGUCUCUGUCAAAUAAAUAAAUAAAUACUUGGAAAAUGAAACCUUAGGACUAGAGAGAUGACUUAGCAGUUAAGCACUAGCUUACUCCUGUGGAGGAACCAGGUUCAGUUCUCAGUAUCCACGUGGUGGCUCUCAACAUGUAAUUCCAAUCUAGGGAAUCCAGUGCCGCCUUCUGGGCUCUAUGGGCAUGAAGCAUACAUGUCAUGUAUGCGGACAGAACACACACAAAAAGACAAAUUUAAAAAGGGAAAUGUUGAAAAUAUU